rnacentral:lncRNA from 1 species
GGAAGACACCCCUCCAAACCUCUCCCCCCAAAACAGGCCCAGCCAGCAUCAAGAACUUUCUCAAGUUCAAUUUCAUGACACGGCCGGAAAAUGCAAGAAACUGAGAUAGAAACAGAAGAGAGCUUAAGAGAAACCAAACUGCUGUUAGCAAGCACCAGAUGACUCGGAGGAGAGGGUGGCUCCCAACCAGCAGAAACAUGAACUGCCUUCAGGUCAAGGCCAGUGCUGCAAAACUGUCCAUGUGGGAACUGCAUGCACACCAUGAGGCGCCUCUUGUUGCUGCUCAGAAAUAACAACAUAUUUAAAAUGCACACUGGAAAACCACGCUUAUUAAGGCAAUGUGUGUGUGUGUGUGUGUGUGUGUGUGUGUAUGUGUGUUGCUAGGGAUUAAACCCAAGACCUUUGAAUUGAGCUGCAUCUCCAAUUAUUGUUUUUAUUUUGAGUCAGGGUCUUGCUAUG